GAUGAACGCUGGCGGCGUGCCUAAUACAUGCAAGUCGAGCGAACAGAUGAGGAGCUUGCUCCUCUGACGUUAGCGGCGGACGGGUGAGUAACACGUGGAUAACCUACCUAUAAGACUGGGAUAACUUCGGGAAACCGGAGCUAAUACCGGAUAAUAUAUUGAACCGCAUGGUUCAAUAGUGAAAGACGGUUUUGCUGUCACUUAUAGAUGGAUCCGCGCCGCAUUAGCUAGUUGGUAAGGUAACGGCUUACCAAGGCAACGAUGCGUAGCCGACCUGAGAGGGUGAUCGGCCACACUGGAACUGAGACACGGUCCAGACUCCUACGGGAGGCAGCAGUAGGGAAUCUUCCGCAAUGGGCGAAAGCUUGACGGAGCAACGCCGCGUGAGUGAUGAAGGUCUUCGGAUCGUAAAACUCUGUUAUUAGGGAAGAACAAAUGUGUAAGUAACGAUGCACGUCUUGACGGUACCUAAUCAGAAAGCCACGGCUAACUACGU
rnacentral:rRNA from 1 species